rnacentral:misc_RNA from 1 species
CGUACAAAUUGGACUUUGGCAUUCUGCAUUAUGUGUGCUCAGAUGAUGCACUUGUUUUUUGAAAAAUUAAUAAGGACAUGGUCUUUGAGCUCUUUUGCAAUAAGAGUGCCGCUGAUGGGUGCGUCCUUACGACUUGUAAUGAAAAUUACAAGAUGUGGGGUCACCUGAAGAAUACUUGGGUGUGUACAGCGUUACCUUGAAAUAAAUGAAAAAACUCGUUUUUUUCUGUUUUUUUCUGAAAGUAAUGUGUACAAGGAAUAAAACCGUGUUUUCAUUCUCUUCUUCGAAGACUUGAGUUGUAUCUUUUUUUUUUUUCCCUUCCGCGAAAGACAAAAAAGAACUCAUGUUGGGUGAAAGCUCGCAAUUUUAAUUUCCGACACAACUUGAGAACCUUGACUCGAGUUCUUGAGGCGACCCGGCUGCGAAUUGGUGUUUUGAUGUAAAAUGCGCACAACAUUUCUGCAGUGGUUUAAGACGCUUAACAAGAUAUACCAAAAUCUUGCUAUUGAUAGAACUAAGCUUCGUCGAGAUAAUUGCUGGAGAGCUAAGAAGUAGGAGUGAUGACCAUAAAAACAAUGCUUUUUUGUUUUGUUUUUGGGGCGUUUUAUUGCUUGUUUGUGCCGACAUCCAUAUUAUGGGGGGGUUUUUUGUUUGCAGAAAAGAAAAGCAGAAAGGAUCGAUAUUUAUUGAAAAUUUCUGGGAUUUUUUGUCUGUGCGAAACCAACCCAAAAACUUAAUAUAUUUUUUGGAUCUCAAAUCAGA